CAGGCUUAACACAUGCAAGUCGAGGGGCAGCAUGGUCUUAGCUUGCUAAGACUGAUGGCGACCGGCGCACGGGUGAGUAACACGUAUCCAACCUGCCGUCUACUCUUGGACAGCCUUCUGAAAGGAAGAUUAAUACAAGAUGGCAUCAUGAGUCCGCAUGUUCACAUGAUUAAAGGUAUUCCGGUGGACGAUGGGGAUGCGUUCCAUUAGAUAGUAGGCGGGGUAACGGCCCACCUAGUCUUCGAUGGAUAGGGGUUCUGAGAGGAAGGUCCCCCACAUUGGAACUGAGACACGGUCCAAACUCCUACGGGAGGCAGCAGUGAGGAAUAUUGGUCAAUGGGCGAGAGCCUGAACCAGCCAAGUAGCGUGAAGGAUGACUGCCCUAUGGGUUGUAAACUUCUUUUAUAAAGGAAUAAAGUCGGGUAUGGAUACCCGUUUGCAUGUACUUUAUGAAUAAGGAUCGGCUAACUCCGUGCCAGCAGCCGCGGUAAUACGGAGGAUCCGAGCGUUAUCCGGAUUUAUUGGGUUUAAAGGGAGCGUAGAUGGAUGUUUAAGUCAGUUGUGAAAGUUUUGCGGCUCAACCGUAAAAAUUGCAGUUGAUACUGGAUAUCUUGAGUGCAGUGAGGGCAGGCGGAAUUCGUGGUGUAGCGGUGAAAUGCUUAGAUAUCACGAAGAACUCCGAUUGCGAAGGCAGCCUGCUAAGCUGCAACUGACAUUGAGGCUCGAAAGUGUGGGUAUCAAACAGGAUUAGAUACCCUGGUAGUCCACACGGUAAACGAUGAAUACUCGCUGUUUGCGAUAUACUGCAAGCGGCCAAGCGAAAGCGUUAAGUAUUCCACCUGGGGAGUACGCCGGCAACGGUGAAACUCAAAGGAAUUGACGGGGGCCCGCACAAGCGGAGGAGCAUGUGGUUUAGUUCGAUGAUACGCGAGGAACCUUACCCGGGCUUAAAUUGCAGAUGAAUUACGGUGAAAGCCGUAAGCCGCAAGGCAUCUGUGAAGGUGCUGCAUGGUUGUCGUCAGCUCGUGCCGUGAGGUGUCGGCUUAAGUGCCAUAACGAGCGCAACCCUUGUUGUCAGUUACUAACAGGUUCCGCUGAGGACUCUGACAAGACUGCCAUCGUAAGAUGUGAGGAAGGUGGGGAUGACGUCAAAUCAGCACGGCCCUUACGUCCGGGGCUACACACGUGUUACAAUGGGGGGUACAGAGGGCCGCUACCACGCGAGUGGAUGCCAAUCCCCAAAACCUCUCUCAGUUCGGACUGGAGUCUGCAACCCGACUCCACGAAGCUGGAUUCGCUAGUAAUCGCGCAUCAGCCACGGCGCGGUGAAUACGUUCCCGGGCCUUGUACACACCGCCCGUCAAGCCAUGGGAGCCGGGGGUACCUGAAGUGCGUAACCGCGAGGAGCGCCCUAGGGUAAAACUGGUGACUGGGGCUAA
rnacentral:rRNA from 1 species